GUAGCAAGGGCCCGUACCGUAAACCGACACAGGUGGAUGAGGAGAGGAUCCUAAGGCCGGCGGGAGAAGUGUUGUUAAGGAACUUGGCAAAAUGACUCCGUAACUUCGGGAGAAGGAGUGCCGCGCAAGCAGCCGCAGAGAAAUGGCCCAAGCAACUGUUUAGCAAAAACACAGGUCUAUGCGAAACCGGAAGGUGAGGUAUAUGGGCUGACGCCUGCCCGGUGCUGGAAGGUUAAGGGGAGAGCUUAGCGCGAGCGAAGGUUUGAACUUAAGCCCCAGUAAACGGCGGCCGUAACAAUAACGGUCCUAAGGUAGCGAAAUUCCUUGUCGGGUAAGUUCCGACCCGCACGAAAGGCGUAAUGAUUUGGGCACUGUCUCAACAACACACCCGGUGAAAUUGAAAUACCAGUGAAGAUGCUGGUUACCCGCGCCAGGACGGAAAGACCCCAUGGAGCUUUACUCCAGCCUGAUACUGGGAUUCGGUAUUGCAUGUACAGGAUAGGUGGGAGGCUAAGAACUCAUGGCGCCAGCCGUGAGGGAGCCGGUGUUGGGAUACCACCCCUGCAGUACUGGGUUUCUAACCUGCGCCCGUGACCCGGGCGGGGGACAAUGUCAGGCGGGGAGUUUGACUGGGGCGGUCGCCUCCGAAAGGGUAUCGGAGGCGCUCAAAGGUCUCCUCAGGAUGGUUGGAAACCAUCCAGAGAGUGCAAAGGCAGAAGGAGGCUUGACUGCGACACCGACGGGUGGAGCAGGUACGAAAGUAGGACUUAGUGAUCCGGUGGCAUAAAGUGGGAUUGCCAUCGCUCAACGGAUAAAAGCUACCCUGGAUAACAGGCUUAUCACUCCCAAGAGUUCACAUCGACGGAGUGGUUUGGCACCUCGAUGUCGGCUCAUCGCAUCCUGGAGCUGGAGCAGGUUCCAAGGGUUGGGCUGUUCGCCCAUUAAAGCGGUACGCGAGCUGGGUUCAGAACGUCGUGAGACAGUUCGGUCCCUAUCCGGCGCGGGCGCAGGAUAUCUGAGAGGAGCUGUCCUUAGUACGAGAGGACCGGGAUGGACCGUCCGCUGGUGGACCGGUUGUCAUGCCAAUGGCACGGCCGGGUAGCCAAGACGGGAAGGGAUAAACGCUGAAGGCAUCUAAGCGUGAAGCCCCCCUCAAGAUGAGAUAUCCAUACUCGAAAGAGUGAGAGACCCCUUAGAGACGAUGAGGUAGAUAGGGCAGAGAUGGAAGCACAGCGAUGUGUGGAGUUGACUGUUACUAAUCGGUCGAAAGCUUG
rnacentral:rRNA from 1 species